GUGCUCGCUUCGGCAGCACAUAUACUAAAGUUGGAACGAUACAGAGAUUAGCAUGGCCCCUGCGCAAGGAUGACACGCAAAUUCGGGAAGCGUUCCAUAUUUUU
rnacentral:snRNA from 1 species